CCUUUGUCCCCGGCGCCGCCCCCCGGAGUCCCGGUUGCCGCCACCCACCCCAGCCCGCGGCCCCAGCGCGCGCUGCUCCUCUUGCUCCGGCCCGGCCUGGCGGCCCCCAGGGCGAAAUCUGGCCCCUGAACUAGGCUCCCAGGCGCGCCCGCAGCCGGGUAGACGCGAUGGUGGGGCCACGGGACAAGGUCCUGAGGAUGGUCUCCAGGAGCUGACAGUCCACAAGACAACGGGACGUCAGUCCUACAGCUGCAAGGAACUGAAUCCUGCCAACAAACAGUGACUUUGGAACGUCAUCCUAGCCCCUGAUGAGAUUGCAGCCCCGCUGACACCUCGAUUUCACCCGGCAGGACUCUGAGCCGAGAGCCCAGCCAUGCCACACCUGGCGAUGAUAAACUGUGCUGUUUCAAGCCAAUAAAUUUAUGGAAAUUUGUUACACAGAAGCAGGAAAUGAAUACAUCAUCUGUCCAAGGAGAAGAAGAGUAUUCUUGACACACAUGUAGGAUAAAAGUUUAAAACUGAGAAAAAUGCAUCCCCCCUCCCUAUGGGUGCUAUGUAGAGUGGAAACCUGCCUCGGCCUCUGUGCUGACAGUCUUCCUGGCUGCAGUUUAAAUCCACAUUCUCAGGGUUCCCAUCUCUCACCUGAACCUCCAGCCAGCCUCAGAGGAAGGCAGGUGUGUUCUGAGAAGGACAGUGCUGAUCGCACCAUCAGGGCAGCCAGAUCCCACUUUGGCUGAAGAAAGAAGCUCUGGAACCCUCUGCUGUAGGGGAUCCCUUUGAUUUCUGGGGCUCCCGGGACUUCUGGACAUCUUUAGGGUCAAUAAAGCUGUUUUUAACCUAACAGCUUUAUUUGGGCUUCCCUGGUGGCGCAGUGGUUAAGAAUCCGCCUGCCAAUGCAGGGGGUGUGGGUCCCAGCUCUGGUCCGGAAAGAUCCCACAUGCCACGGAGCAACUAAGCCCAGGCACCACAACUACUGAGCCUGCGCUCUAGAGCCCACGAGCCACAACUACUGAAGCCCCGCGAGCCUAGAGCCUGUGCUCCGCAACAAGAAAAGCCAACACAAUGAGAAGCCCGCGCACCGCAACGAAGAGUAGCCCCUGCUCGCUGCAACUAGAGAAAGCCAGCGCGCAGCAAUGAAGACCCAGCGCAGCCAAAAACAAAAACAAAAACAAAACAAAAAAACCCAACAUAACAGCUUUAUUAGAUAUAAUUCACAUACCAUAUAAUUCACCCAUCUAAAGUGUAAAAUUAAGUGGGUUUUUUUGUACAGUCAGUUUUGUAACCAUCACCACAAUCAAUUUGAGAACAUUUUUAUCACCCCCCAAAAGAAACCCCAUACCCACUAGUACCCACUCCCCGUUUCCCCCUGACUACCCCUCAUUCCUUGGCAACCACUAAUCUACUUUCUACCUCUGUGGAUUUGCCUAUUCUGGACAUUUUAUAGAAACGGAAUCAUACAAUAUGUAGCCUUUUGUGUUUGGCUUCUUUCACUGAGCAUCGUGUUGUCAAGGUUCAUCCACGUUGUGCCAUGUAUUAGUACUUCAUCUGUUUUUAUGCUAAGUAAUACUCCAUUGGAUGGAUAGACCAUGUUUUUUUGAUAGACCAGUCAUCAAUAAAGCCUACUGCUGACUCUCA